UACGUAGGGGGCAAGCGUUGUCCGGAUUCAUUGGGCGUAAAGAGCUCGUAGGCGGUUCGGCAAGUCGGGUGUGAAAACUCCAGGCUCAACCUGGAGACGCCACCCGAUACUGCUGUGACUCGAGUCCGGUAGGGGACCACGGAAUUCCUGGUGUAGCGGUGAAAUGCGCAGAUAUCAGGAGGAACACCGGUGGCGAAGGCGGGUCUCUGGGCAGUAACUGACGCUGAGGAGCGAAAGCGUGGGGAGCGAACAGG
rnacentral:rRNA from 1 species